AAAAAAAGAUUAAUUUUUCUUAGAAGGGAUUACAAUUGGUGUGAUGUUGCUGCUUUACUUGUUAGAAGGGGAUUACGGUGGUGAUGUGAGUUUUUGUUGAUUAUUUUUUUAGAUUAAUUUUGUUGGUUGUCAUUAUUUUCUCUCUGAAUUGCACUCAAUUGCUUUUUCAGGGUUUACAGGGUUUGUAUAUAAAGGGGAAAAAGUUGCUGCAAAGAUUAUGCAUGUCUUGUGGCUGAAAAAAAAUGAGAGAUAUACAUGUCUUUUGUAUCAAAGGUCCAAUAUAUUUCCGUGUCUUGUGGCUGGAAAGAUAAGACUAUGCUUAUCUAAGGUCCUAUAUACUUUCAUGCUCCUGUCCUUAGGGACUUUAAACUAGCUGAGAAUUUCACUUCACUAGAGAUUCAUUCAAUUUGCAGUCACACACAUUAUCAACUGGUAGAGAUUGAUACACAUUGUAUAUGUCUAAUUCAAAUUUAAUAAAAAUUGACUAUUAAUAGUGGUCCAGUAAUUAGCAAAACUAGUACUCUCUCAUAAAUGGUGGUCUAGUAAUUAGAAUAAAUGUUCAUUAUCCUUUUAGUAAUUCUCAUAAAUAGUGGUCUAUAAAAUGGUGGUAUAUAAGUGGUGGUCCAGUAAUUCUCUCAUGUUUUGUACUCUCUUAUUAGUUUUGUCUUGGUUGUGUUAGAAUAUCAUUUGUCCUUAUUUUAAAAUAUAUGCAUAUAUACAUAUCACUUAUUGGUACCAAUGGCAAAGAAGGGGGCAUCUUCAUCAAAUCCUCCAGCUAUGUGGGAUGCCCACAAUAUAUCUAUAUUUUGUGAUGUAUGCAUCAAGGAGGUUGAGGCCAGUAAUCGUCCAGGCACUCACUUUAACAAACAGGAUAUGUAAAUAUUAGAGUUAAUUUCAAGGCAGAGUAGGGCAUAAUUAUGAAAAAGCACAACUAAAAAAUAAAUGGGAUGAACUUAAAAAUGAGUGGAAGUUGUGGAAAGAGCUAGUUAGUAAAGAAACUGGCUAGGGUGGAAUUCGAGCAAGGGUAUUGUUGAUGCCUCGGAGGAGUGAUGGAAUAAUAAGAUUCAGAUAAACAAAAAAUAUGGAAGGCUGCAGAAAAAAGGGCAUUAAUCCUGAUAUGGAGGACAAGUUAGAUAUGAUGUUUUUGUAUACAAUUGCUAUUGAUGAACAUGCCUAGGAACCUUCUUCUGAAGUACUAGAGACAAGAGAGGAAUCUAUAGGACAAAUUGAUUUAGAUUAUGAGGAAGAAUUUGAGACAAUUUAAGAUAUAAGGCAAGCUACUAGGAAAGGAAAAAAAAAAGAGUGGCUGACCAAGGAGACUUGCCAAAGAAGAAGGCUGAUAAGAAAGGAAAAAAAAUUAAAGGUGCUACAAAACUUUGUGGUUAAAUUGACUGUCUUGUUGAAAUUUAUGAGAGUAGGAGUAUUGCAAACUCAUUGAUGAGGCAAUUGCAUAUAGGCAGUAGUCUUCCAAAAGUGAUUGUGGCUAUUGCAAAAUUGCCUAGGUGUGAGCCACCUAGUGAGUUAUGGUUUGCUACUUGUUUGUUUUGUAGUGCAGAGAAACAAGAGAUGUUCGCCAUAGAUGAAAGAUCUUGAAGUCUGGCUGGCUUUGUUGAAAUUUAUGUUCAACAACCAAUAAGAAGUUGAAACUAUGGAUUAGGAUUAUGUGUUGCUUGUAUUUUGCAUUUGGACUGUGUGUUGGAUGUUACUUGUAUAUUGUGUUUUUGAAUGUUUGAUUAUGUGUUGAACAUUGGAUUAUGAUUUCUUGUUGAACGUUGGAUUAUGACUUGUUGAAUGUGAAAUUACGAUUUCUUGUUGAA